AGUGAACGCUGGCGGUAGGCCUAACACAUGCAAGUCGAACGGCAGCACAGUAAGAGCUUGCUCUUACGGGUGGCGAGUGGCGGACGGGUGAGGAAUACAUCGGAAUCUACUUUUUCGUGGGGGAUAACGUAGGGAAACUUACGCUAAUACCGCAUACGACCUACGGGUGAAAGCAGGGGAUCUUCGGACCUUGCGCGAUUGAAUGAGCCGAUGUCGGAUUAGCUAGUUGGCGGGGUAAAGGCCCACCAAGGCGACGAUCCGUAGCUGGUCUGAGAGGAUGAUCAGCCACACUGGAACUGAGACACGGUCCAGACUCCUACGGGAGGCAGCAGUGGGGAAUAUUGGACAAUGGGCGCAAGCCUGAUCCAGCCAUACCGCGUGGGUGAAGAAGGCCUUCGGGUUGUAAGGCCCUUUUGUUGGGAAAGAAAAGCAGCAGGUUAAUACCCCGCUGUCCUGACGGUACCCAAAGAAUAAGCACCGGCUAACUUCGUG
rnacentral:rRNA from 1 species